GAAUCGCUAGUAAUCGCGGAUCAGCAUGCCGCGGUGAAUACGUUCCCGGGCCUUGUACACACCGCCCGUCACACCACGAGAGUUUGUAACACCCGAAGUCGGUGAGGUAACCUUUUAGGAGCCAGCCGCCGAAGGUGGGACAGAUGAUUGGGGUGAAGUCGUAACAAGGUAGCCGUAUCGGAAGGUGCGGCUGGAUCACCUCCUUUCUAAGGA
rnacentral:rRNA from 1 species